rnacentral:rRNA from 1 species
GAUGAACGCUGGCGGCGUGCCUAAUACAUGCAAGUCGAGCGAACAGACGAGGAGCUUGCUCCUCUGCCGUUAGCGGCGGACGGGUGAGUAACACGUGGAUAACCUACCUAUAAGACUGGGAUAACUUCGGGAAACCGGAGCUACUACCGGAUAAUAUAUUGAACCGCAUGGUUCAAUAGUGAAAGACGGUUUUGCUGUCACUUAUAGAUGGAUCCGCGCCGCAUUAGCUAGUUGGUAAGGUAACGGCUUACCAAGGCAACGAUGCGUAGCCGACCUGAGAGGGUGAUCGGCCACACUGGAACUGAGACACGGUCCAGACUCCUACGGGAGGCAGCAGUAGGGAAUCUUCCGCAAUGGGCGAAAGCCUGACGGAGCAACGCCGCGUGAGUGAUGAAGGUCUUCGGAUCGUAAAACUCUGUUAUUAGGGAAGAACAAAUGUGUAAGUAACUAUGCACGUCUUGACGGUACCUAAUCAGAAAGCCACGGCUAACUACGUG